AGAGUUUGAUCCUGGCUCAGGUUUAACGCUAGCGGUGCGCCUAACACAUGCAAGUCGAGCGUCUCACUUCGGUGAGAGCGGCAAACGGGUGAGUAACACGUUGGAACCUACCUUGAAGUGAGGGAUAGCCCGCCGAAAGGCGGAUUAAUACCGCAUGUGCCUGCAAAGGUAAAGUCUUCGGACGCUUCAAGAGGGGCCUGCGUCGUAUCAGCUUGUUGGUAGGGUAAAAGCCUACCAAGGCUAUGACGCGUAGCUGGUGUGAGAGCAUGACCAGCCACAAUGGAACUGAGACACGGUCCAUACUCCUACGGGAGGCAGCAGUGAGGAAUCUUCCGCAAUUGGCGAAAGCCUGACGGAGCGACACCGCGUGUGGGAUGACUGGCUUCGGCCUGUAAACCACUUUUCUGAGGGAACAAGUUCUGAGCUAACCUCAGGAAUAAGCACCUGCUAACUACGUGCCAGCCGCGGUAAUACGUAGGGUGCAAGCGUUAACCGGAAUUAUUGGGCGUAAAGCGUCCGCAGUCGUUUUAGUAUGUCUGGUGUAAAAGUUCGGAGCCCAACUCCGAAAGUGUACCGGAAACUGCUAAAAUAGAGGAGUUCAGAGGCUAGUGGAAUGCUGCAUGUAGGGGUAAAAUCCGUAGAUAUGCAGUAGAACACCAAAAGCGAAGGCAGCUAGCUGGGAACUUCCUGACGCUCAGGGACGAAAGCGUGGGUAGCGAACGGGAUUAGAUACCCCGGUAGUCCACGCCCUAAACGAUGGAUACUCGGUGUUGUAGGUUCGACCCCUUCAGUGCCUAAGCUAACGCAUUAAGUAUCCCGCCUGGGGACUACGGCCGCAAGGCUAAGACUCAAAGGAAUAGACGGGGACCCACACAAGCGGUGGAGCAUGUGGUUUAAUUCGGCAAUAAGCGAAGAACCUUACCUGGACUUGACAUUCUAGAAACCCGUGAGAAAUCAUGGGGUGCCGCAAGGAAUCUAGUGACAGGUGCUGCAUGGUUGUCGUCAGCUCGUGCCUUGAGGUGUGCCCUUAAGUGGGUGAACGAGCGCAACCCUCGUCCUUAUUUGUAAUUUAUAAGGAGACUGCCGGCUCCAAGUCGGAGGAAGGUGAGGAUGACGUCAAAUCAGCAUGGCCCUUAUGUCCAGGGCUACACACGUGCUACAAUGGGGUGUACAAAGGGUAGCAAAGCCGCAAGGUGAAGCCAAUCCCAUCAAAGCAUCUCUCAGUUCGGAUUGAGGUCUGCAACUCGACCUCAUGAAGUUGGAAUCGCUAGUAACCGUGGAUCAGCAACGCCACGGUGAAUAUGUUCCUGGGUCUUGUACUCACCGCCCGUCAAGUGAUGAAAGGCAGGGGCACCCGAAGUCGGUUUACCUUAAUUUAUCUUAAGGGGCUGCCUAAGGUGAAACUGCUGAUUGGCACUAAGUCGUAACAAGGUA
rnacentral:rRNA from 1 species